CGUAGGUCACAAGCGUUGUCCGGAAUUACUGGGUGUAAAGGGAGCGCAGGCGGGAAGACAAGUUGGAAGUGAAAUCCAUGGGCUCAACCCAUGAACUGCUUUCAAAACUGUUUUCUUGAGUAGUGCAGAGGUAGGCGGAAUUCCCGGUGUAGCGGUGGAAUGCGUAGAUAUCGGGAGGAACACCAGUGGCGAAGGCGGCCUACUGGGCACCAACUGACGCUGAGGCUCGAAAGUGUGGUAGCAAACAGGAUU
rnacentral:rRNA from 1 species